UACGGAGGGGGCAAGCGUUAUUCGGAAUUAUUGGGCGUAAAGGGCGCGUAGGCGGCUAGAUGUGUCAAAGGUGAAAUCCCUCGGCUCAACUGAGGAACUGCCUUUGAAACUGUCUGGCUUGAGGCCGGGAGAGGGUAGCGGAAUUCCCAGUGUAGCGGUGAAAUGCGUAGAUAUUGGGAGGAACACCAGUGGCGAAGGCGGCUACCUGGACCGGUUCUGACGCUGAGACGCGAAAGCGUGGGGAGCAAACAGG
rnacentral:rRNA from 1 species